rnacentral:rRNA from 1 species
UACGUAGGGUGCGAGCGUUGCCCGGAUUUAUUGGGCGUAAAGGGCGCGUAGGCGGCCACGCACGUCCGUUGUGAAAUCGCCCGGCUCAACUGGGCGGGGUCAGCGGAUACGGUGUGGCUCGAGCAAGCUAGGGGGCAAUGGAAUUCCCGGUGUAGUGGUGGAAUGCGUAGAUAUCGGGAGGAACACCUGUGGCGAAAGCGGCGCACUGGACCAUAACUGACGCUGAGGCGCGAAAGCUAGGGGAGCAAACAGG